GUUUAAAUGGCCUGUUUUUCGCUAGCGGAAAUUAGCAUUAGCAUUAGCAUUAUCACAGUUAACCAUAGACUGUAAAUGCACGGUGUUAAUCAAGCUAGCAGCCGGCGCUAGGGUCAGCUCCACCCUCUCGUCCAAACAUGGUCACUUUUGGCUCCAAAAAUCAAAGAUGGCGACAGCCAAAUCGCUAAAUCCGAGGCUUCAAAACACGGAUGUAUAAAGAGAAUGACACAAAUGUAAUCCCAUAUGACCAGAGACAUCCAGAAAAGACAGCAUGACCCAGGGCCAACCCGUCACUGCUGGCUAUUGAGCCAAAUUAAGGAAACUCCCGUAAAGUCAACACUGUCACAUCGCCGUGCAUUGUGGAGUUGGCUGGUUGGUGUGAUUACUCUUCGACAGUAGAUGUCAUGAGUGGACUGGCCCUGUUGAGGGUGCUGAAGCAGUGACGGAGAGGGAGGUGCAUCACCACCGAGCCCUGUCUCAGACAGGCUGCCUAGCAACCAGAGCAGAGCAGAGAUUGCAGUGCCACAGUUGGGGCUGCCAGCAUCAUUCCUGGAUCACAUUACACUGAGACAGCAAGUAAGAGAAGGAGUGAAAUAGAGAUGAAGAUAGAGGAGAAAGUGAGGGGGAUGGGUAAAAAUGGAAAAAAAAAAGUGAGCGCAUCAAUAAAGGAAAGCAGAAAACAGCAGCAUGAUGGUGGACCAGAGAGAAAAUGAAUAGCUGAUAGCAUGAUUCCAUAAUUACAGGUUGGUAGGCAGGAAACAAUUGAUUUUUUCUUUAUUAAGCACUGCAGUCAGGCACUGCUACAUUAAUGUAAACAUAAGUUGUAAAAUAUUACCUAACUGUCUACCAGCAACUACCCAUAUGCAGUAUAAUACAGAACAGGACAACUGCCGCUUAUUUAACUAUUCACAGUCCCGGCUAGAUCAGUAGACUCUAAAAAGUUUUAUCAAAUAACAAAACAUUAAAACAAAACUCAAACAGAACAAUUAAAUUACAUGAAUCACAGCACAAAGUAGCCCUGAGCACUUUGGUCUCUACUGCCUCCCCCUCUUCUGCAUGACAACAUUCAUGCUGCCAUGUUGCCUUCUGUCCCACUGGUGGGGGAUGUGACCGUCAAUGCUUAAGCUCUCUUACAAAGUGUCCUUCUGGAGAGGGGUUUAGGUGCAUUUCCUCUGACCAGUAAAUUGUAUGAUUCCUGGAUGAGUCCAACAUUCAUUUAUUAGGAGGUGAAUAAAUACUGAUGAAUCUCAUGAAUUCAGUUUUGACUAAAAAGCUGAUUUUAUACCUAUUUUGCUAUGACAAGCUGAAUUAUGACAAAUGUAAAUACAAUGGAUUCAUGUGAAAUUAAAGGGAGCAUUUUUCAAACAGUUAUCACAGUGCCAAAACCAGUGAGAGAGUAAGGGACCACUUAACUCCUGGGUAUCAUCAAAGUUCAUUACAGUUUUCCAGCCAGUUAAUUACUCAUCAUUGUAUUCACCUGCUGUUCCAGGUGUGAAUCAGUCCUUGAUUGCUAGAGUGAAAAUGAGCAGCUCUGAGUCCUGGGAACAAAGACGGGGAGCUUCCACUCGAGAUGAUUACACCUUGACACCUUUUCUGAAGAGUGUAGCAGCAAUUAGUAUUUUCCCUUUUCCAUAAUUUUUUUCACAGAUCCAUACCUGCAACAUUUCACAUAUGCUGCGCAAUUUCAAACCAAUUCACUUAUCAUAAAAUACUGUCUGAUUGUUAAAGUGCAGUAUUGAUACCCACAUUUAAAUCUAGUACACAUGCUAACAGUGGAAAUAGACCAAACAAAACAAAACAAAAAAACUUUGUUACAAGACAACACUGCAGGUCAGCAGUGAACAAGACAUAUUAAAAUUCAUAUUAAUAUAUUGCCAUUUAAUUCAUUAAAACAUUUAUCUCUAGAAAGGAUUAAUCAAAAGAACUAAUUUAUUCUUAGUUGUGCACUAAUGUCUAAAAUAUAUGCAUGACAGUGAUACUAAGAGUAGAAGGGUCUGGUUCAGCCUGAACUAUUGCAUUUAUCUAUUGUGCCUGUUUUGGUACUGUUUAAUAUUGUUUUAUAACAUUUAGUUUAGAGCUGAUUUGUCAGAAGAUUAAUUGGCAAAUAUUUGGAUAAUCGAUUAAUCAUUUAGCUCUUUUUUAAAAGCAAAAAUGCCAAAAAUUUGAUGGUUUCAGGUUCUCAAAUUAGAGUGUUUGCUGCUUUUCUCAGCCUCUUUAUUGUGAAUAAAUUAUUCUUAAAAACCAACACAUGAGGUGAUUCUUUUUAGCUGUUUUUUAACUAUAAUUAUAAAUUUGAACUAUUGUUUGAACCAAAUAAGACAUUUAAUGAUGUUACUGUGGACGUUUUUCACAAUUUUGAUGUUUUAUAGUCCAAAACUAUUCAUCGAUUAGUCAAAAACAUAAUUGGAAGAUUAAUUGAUAAUAAAAAUAAUCAUUAGUUGCAGUCCUAAUUUAGUUAGAGACACUGGAUAUGCUUCUCUGUCUGUAAAUUACUCUCCAUUACUGUUUUGUACUGUAAGUUGUGCAAAUAAAGGCCUUACUCGUAUUAUAUACUUUUAAUCCAUCUCAAUUAGGUCCAAUCAAAACCUUAAAAAUAUUAAUGUCUUUCAAGAUGAUUUUCUUGUCAAUGUAAUGCCAGAUGUAUUAUAUGUUUUAUUAAAGCUGAUGAAAAGAUGAAAUCAAUCAGAGGCACUAACAGAUCUUUUACAAUCUAUGUUGGUAUAUGAAGAUAAGUUAUCAGUAUUUUUAGAUAGAAAGGCAAACAAAAUAAGGGAAAGUUUCCUUUAUUCGUUCUUUCCUUAUGUUGUAAGAAACAGCACGCACUCCCAUGUUCACCAUUAGAUUAAUACAGAGCUUGACCAGUCCAGGCAAAACAAACAGGAUAUGAUAUACUCUGUUUUAAUAAACAUAAUUGGACAUUAUGUCAAUAAAAUGUAUUUUCCUGGGGUUCCUUUCACACAAGCAGGGGGUUUCUAACAGCUUGCAACAAUUAAAAUCCGCCUCUUACUGUACAAGCAGCCCACCACAUUACCACUGCAACACAAUACCUUUGGGUUUAGGAGGCUUUAUUGUAUCAAUAUAUCAUCGUGGAAGGAAUCCAGGACAUCUUAAAGGAAAUACUGUGUUAUGAAGGUCAAUAGAAUAGAAUAGAAAGUCUCCAAAGUCUACAGAUGCAUGUGUUGGCCCUUGUGUACUGUAAUAAGAAUUGAACACUGAGAGGCUGAAUAAGCUGUUCCUUUAAUGGUUAAAUGAGUUAACUUAAUGUAGAGCAAAUGUCAAAUACUAUCUGCCAUCAUCUCAGAUUGUAAUUCAAGGACCAAGCUUGAGCUUUUAAAUUACUGUGCAUUAGGUAAUGGAAUGAAAGCUAACCUUACCUCUCAGGCAUGUAAUUUCCAAGAAACUUAGACUGCAAAUGCAUUUGCAGGAACCACGAGAGGCUCCUCAGGUGUAAAUUAAAGAUGGCAAAUCCCCACAGCAUCUUCACAGAAUUUAAGCUUUUGCAAGUUCAUCUAUUUGCAUUUUCUUUAACAGUGAUUAAUCCAUUUUCCCCCUAUAUUUGGAUUAAUUUUAACAUUUGCUGCUCUGAUGAACUCAGAGGGAUUUUAUGUUAGGUGCUAAAUCUGCAUGCAGCUUUACAAUGCUAUAUGAAUGAAGUAUAUGCUGGAAUAUAGUUGUAUGCAGCACAAUACAUACUGUAUUAGUAAAGUAAAUCUCGGCAGGUAAAUGUACUUGAAUUAGACAGAAUUUGAAUCCAUUAAAUGAAGAAAUAUUUUCACCUCUUUUGUAUAAAGACAUAUUUUAAAUGUAUAUCUCCUACAUUCACCUGCUUUUAAAUGUGACCUAGGCUUAAGCUUGAGAUCAUCCAUCAGUAGAGCUGUAAAAAAAAUUAAUUUACCUCCCUAUACAAUCUGUAUUUAGGCCAGAACACCUGCUGGAUAUUAGUGGAGCAAACCCUCUCAUCCACCCACUGGCACCUUUAAACCAGCCACACUGAGCACUCAUGCGAGAACAAUGUUUGUCUCCGAUGGUCAACAGAACUUUCUCUUUUCCACUACGAUCCAUCACAAUACAGCCAUUGUUGCCUUCUCAGUUGAUUUUCACUCUCAAGUGUCUCCUCAAGUGCCAAACCCCAACACAGCUUUCAUCUCAUUUGCAUUAUCACGAUUACUGCUGCCAGCCAACACCUACCACUACAACUGUUUUUUUCAUGUAUAUGUAAGCCUCCGAGGACAGGAAAUUCACUCAUCUUCUGCCAAUGCUAACUUCAGACUAUUCUCCAAGGUGUUUCAGCACAACACUUUGACAAGUAUUAGUAUCCUGUAGCUAUGUAUGCUGCAACAACAACAACAACAACAGACUUUACAUUCACCAUGGGGCAGAAUGCUUAAAGCUGCACAAGGCAGGAUACUGUAAGAAUCCACUCAGCCAAAAUCAAAAAGUGGGGCUGCAACAAAGAAGAGCUUCUUAUCCCCCCCAUGGAGACGCUCUAGAUUCACCCUCUUCGCCCAAAUUGAAGUCUGCUGUUGAGUGUAGUCGCUCUAAUCUCUUUGAAAUGCCGAAAAUGAACAGCAAAAUAGCUUGUACCUGAACAGCACCGCAACCAUAGAAAGAUCUGCUCAUCAAUACAAGCUGAACCUCAACAUUUUCAUUGCACUCCGUAAAUAAGGAGACAUUUUGAUAUUUUUGGAGUGGAAUUUUUUUCUUAAAGUUCACCUCUCAGUGCCGUUUGUGUGCUAUUAUACUGAGUGGACACCUUUUUUUCUAAGAGUGUAAUUUAAAAGUACAUGCCAAAUGACACAAGACUAGGAAGGAACAGUGGAAAUGUUUUUACACAUUUAUGAUUGAUAAUGUAUUUGUCCAUUUAUUAUUGUAAGUCAAGCUCCAAAAACAGCAGCAGGAAUACCCCCAUUUGUAUGAAAAAGGUAUGCAAUAGCCCUUUGCAGGGGGUCCCAAGGAGACAUCCUUGAUUAUCUUACUAAAACUUUGAUCAAAAAACACUUUUAGCUCUAGAUGUUUUGAAGUACACUACUGUCCCAACCAAACGUAAGACUGUCUCUAAAAAUAUAAAAUCCCUUAAGUGCUUUUGGACUUUCUUCACCACCAGAAGGCCUGUAUUACAACGGUGAAACUGAAAAAAUCAUAAAAAAUACAUAAAGAAAACAUUUUUUUUUCAACGUUCUGUCAUUCUUACAUUUCGGUCUGAAAUAUUCACUUGUUAAUUUAUGUCCUUGCAUUAAUGAGAUUCUGAAUCUCAUUUCUGAGGGAUGAUUCAUCAUCGGCAUUGAUGAGACCCACACAGAUGUAUCAUCCUCAAAUUUAAUAAUCAGAUUAGAGUCAUAGAUACACUAAAUGGUGCCACAGUGGGUGCUUCGCUGCAGUGCUUCUGCUGAGGGUUGCACAGUUGUGUUGCAUGCUUAUAUUUAUAUAUGUAACAAAAAUUGCAGAUAAAUGUGGACAUGAAGUUUGGUUAUACCUUAACUUAAACCUGACUUAAACUGACUCAAAACACUAUGGACAUAAUGACCCCAAACCAGGUAUAAUUGCGGUCUUAUAAUGAAAUUUGUAGUUGCAAAAAAACAUGGCCUUCACUUUUUUUGAGGAUAUUUUAUGAAAUGCUCUUUUUUUCACUGUAUCAUGUAAUGCAAACAACAAGCAGGACUUCCUAAAACAGUUAUACUAAUA